rnacentral:rRNA from 1 species
UACGUAGGGCGCAAGCGUUGUCCGGAAUUAUUGGGCGUAAAGAGCUCGUAGGCGGCCUGUUGCGUCCGCUGUGAAAUCCCGAGGCUUAACCCCGGGCGUGCAGUGGAUACGGGCAGGCUAGAGGUAGGUAGGGGGAGAAUGGAAUUCCCGGUGUAGCGGUGAAAUGCGCAGAUAUCGGGAGGAACACCGGUGGCGAAGGCGGUUCUCUGGGCCUUACCUGACGCUGAGGAGCGAAAGCGUGGGGAGCGAACAGG